rnacentral:rRNA from 1 species
CGCCUCUUGCUUAAACAUAAGAGGUCCAGCCUGCCCAGUGAUAUAAUUCAACGGCCGCGGUAUCCUAACCGUGCGAAGGUAGCAUAAUCACUUGUUCUUUAAAUAAGGACUUGUAUCAACGGCAUCACGAGGACUGUACUGUCUCCUUUCUCUAAUCAGUGAAACUGAUCUCCCCGUGAAGAAGCGGGGAUAUAUAUAUAAGACGAGAAGACCCCAUGGAGCUUAAAACAUACACACACCUCUGAAUUACUAAAUCAGUUAAAUAAAGAAAUUUGUGAGUCAGUUUUAGGUUGGGGAGACCACGGAAUAAAACUAAACUUCCAUGACAAACGGGCCAACGCCCUUAUCCAAGAAUUACAAUUCUAAGAAUUAAUAAACUAAUGUCCAAUGAUCCGGCUAGCCGAUCAACGAACCAAGUUACCCUGGGGAUAACAGCGCAAUCUGCUUCAAGAGCCCCUAUCGACAAGCAGGUUUACGACCUCGAUGUUGGAUCAGGGUAUCCUAGUGGUGCAGCCGCUACUAACGGUUCGUUUGUUCAACGAUUAAAACCCU